rnacentral:rRNA from 1 species
GACGAACGCUGGCGGCGUGCUUAACACAUGCAAGUCGAACGAGUGGCGAACGGGUGAGUAAUACGUGGGUAACCUGCCCUCUUUUUGGGAUAAGGCUUGGAAACGGGGUCUAAUACCGAAUCAAGGGGGGUGGGCUCGCGGCCUAUCAGCUUGUUGGUGGGGUGAUGGCCUACCAAGGCGAUGAGGGGUAGCCGGCCUGAGAGGAUGAUCCGCCACACUGGGACUGAGACACGGCCCAGACUCCUACGGGAGGCAGCAGUGGGGAAUUUUGGACAAUGGGCGCAAGCCUGAUCCAGCCAUGCCGCGUGUGUGAAGAAGGCCUUCGGGUUGUAAAGGACUUUUGUUAGGGAAGCGGUACCUAAAGAAUAAGCACCGGCUAACUACGUGCCAGCAGCCGCGGUAAUUC